rnacentral:lncRNA from 1 species
AGGUACCGUUUGGUUCGGGUAUAAGAUAGAACUGCUAGUUCCAGGGAUAGGUAUAAAUAUUGGAACUAGCUAGAACUAGUGUAUUUUUGUGUUUGGUUGAGUAUUAGAUUUGUACCAGGUAUAAGAAAAAUAGUGUUUGGAUGUAUAAGAUAGAAUAAGAGGAAUAAAGUAUGAAAGGGAUUAAAAAUAGGUAACAAAAAUUAAUUAAAUAAAUAAUGAAUUACAAUAUUGUUAAAAAACAUUACUAAUUAUUUAAUGAAUAUUUUUUUGUCAACUUGCGCUCGUUAGAAUUAAAUUAUACUUCUCGAAAAAAUAAUUUUAAACUUUCAUACUGCAAUAAGAUUUAUAACAAACUAACCAAAUUAAUAACUAUAGUAAAAUAAAGAAACAUUCAAACCUUUUCAUACACAUGUUAUAUACAAUUUGUUACAAACACUGUCUUUCCACCUUUUACAUACAUUUCAAUCCAUAUUGCAAACAACAUAUUAAUAAUUUAUCCAGAAAAUACCAAGUAAUAUUUGCCUGCGAAUAUAGUCGAGAAAUACAAGUUCGCAAAUUUAAAUAUAAGAUCAUUCAAAAGUAACAUGUAUUAUAAUAUUUNUGAUAAAACUUUGAGAGCCAAAUUAUUAAGAUUAAAAGUUCAUAUUGUGGAAAUAUUAAAUUGUUAAAAAAAUACUAUUUAUAUAUUCUAAAAAUAAUGUGUAUUAUAGAGUCGGAUUAUAAUAUUUUUAAUAGUACCAAGUACUUUGGUGUUAUCAAAUUUUUUAUUGACUUUAAUUUUUUAAUUAUUUUUAUCUGUUAGAUCAUAGUCAUAAAAAAUUACUAUUAUCCUAACCGCACGUUUCUUUAUCGAAGGGCCAAAAAUCUAAUAGCACCAACUGUUUGGUGCUAUUAGAAGCAUUUCAAUCUAAUUCAUAUAUAACGCUUUCAUUCUAAGAUUUAAAAAUCUUUUGAGUUUUUAGGUUUUUUAAACAAAGUUGAUAAAAUAACGGCAAAUAAUGAGAGCCCUGAAUUACCGCUCAAAGUAACCAAUGAUUGAUUGGGUACCUUCUGGGGUACCCGUAGUAUCGCCCAAAGAAGGGCCAAUCCAACUUAAAAAAAAAAAAGAAUUUGAAACAGAGAUAACAAUAUAUCGCGCACCCAUGUGAGUGAGUAAGAUUGCGGCAUAGGAGGAGACGCACUUUCUUUUACCGCCCCAUCGGAUAUUUCAGAGCACACAUACAUCACUUUUAAAAAAACCCUUUAUUCACUAUUCAGUAUUCACCUUUCCCCUUCGCCAUGGCUCCCUCUCUCCCCUCCUUCUUCUUCAUCCUCCUCCUACGAACCCUAACAAUGGCGUACGCCGCCACCUCCCCCGACGACAUCGAAGCCCUAAGAUCCUUCGUGGCCGCGGUGGAGCCCGCCUCCGUCCCCGCGGGGUCGUGCCUCAGCACCUGGGACUUGGCCCGCGACCCCUGCGACUCCGCGUUCGGCCCCUUCUUCACCUGCGGCCUCCUCUGCUCCGACCCCUCCCCCGCAGCCCCCCUCCGCCGCGUCACCGCCGUCGCCCUCGCCGGCUCCGCCUACUCCGGCGACGCCGCCGCGGCGGUCGCGGCCCUCCUCUCCCUCCCCUUCCUCUCCUCCCUCGACCUCUCCGACAAGCCGCUUCUCCGGGCCCCUCCCCGCCUCCCCCGACCGCUCUACCGCUACCCCCUCGCCUCCUCCGCCUCUCACCUCAUCGCAACCCUCUCCGGCCCAUCCCCUCCUCCUCUUCCCCCUUGUCGCCUGCCUCGCCGCUUGCGGGAGCUCUACCUCCGACGGGAACCCUCCUUCGCGCCCGAUCCCCGCGAGCUCCAUCGCUCCCUCCGCGCCCUCGCUACCGACCUCGAUCUCCGAUCCAACAACCUCUCGGGCCGUCUAUCUCUCUCUCUGCCCCGUCCGGGGCUCCUCACUUGUCAGGCGAGCGACACUUCGAACGCGCUCUGGGCCCUUUCCGGCCCGGUGCGGCUCUCCCCGCGUCCGCUCCUCCCGCUCGCUCCGCGGCAACACGCCUCCGCGGCGGCUGACGGGCGCGUCCCUAGGGCGCUGCCCGCGUCAGUAUCGCGUGCUGGCCUGGCCGGGAAGCGCUGGAGGCGGCGCCCCGGCGCGGCGUUCGCGCCGACACCGCCUGGAGCAAGCUUGAACGCUGGCGUCCGAAACCGGGCUGGGGGGGUCGAGGUGAGGAGCCCGACGGGCGUGGUCGACGAGCCGGCUGUGGCGGUGGAGCUGGGCGGAAUACCGAACGGGGCGCGCUGCGGGCUUCUUUGGGAUGAUGCCGCGGCUGGCGGGCGGUGGUGCUGGAGGGGAACCGUUCGCGGGUCAUCCCGCCGGCAGUACGCGCUGCGGUGCGGGCCUCUGGUCUGCGGGACAUGGGCCCGUUCGGCAGCGGCGAUGCUGGCGGGAAAUACGCUGAUUGGGACCGAUACCGAGCCCGAAUGGAGGGGUGAAGGAUGGGAUGCCGAUGGGACGCUGGCGACAACUGGCAUCCUCCGCUGCCGCCCCGCAGUGUACUUCUUCUCUCCAGGGCCUGCCCUCAGAAGCCGCGCCGCCACGUGUUCAGCGCCUUCAACCCCGCCAACCCCCUCACUUAAACUAAACUUCACUUUAAUUUUUUGAUUUAUCGAUGAUGAUGAUGUGAUUAGAGUGUGCUGUAAAAGACAUAUCAUAAAUAUAUAUUAGAUAAUAUAGGGAAAAAGAAAAUGUAGGAAAAGAAAGGACUUGCAGGGCACGGUGUGUAAAACAAAAAAAAUAACGAUCCGCUGAAUGUUGCGAAGAAUGGUACGGACUGUAAAGAGUUUUUUUUUUAAAAAAAUUAAUGUAAUAAAUUAAUUGUGUUUUUAAGGAUAUCGGAGCUUGAACUUGGGAAAGAAGAAGAGCUCAGUGGAAGGAAAGUACUUAAUUAGGCGAUAUCAGCAUUCCCUAGGUACCGUUUGGUUCGGGUAUAAGAUAGAACUGCUAGUUCCAGGGAUAGGUAUAAAUGUUGGAACUAGCUAGAACUAGUGUAUUUUUGUGUUUGGUUGAGUAUUAGAUUUGUACCAGGUAUAAGAAAAAUAGUGUUUGGAUGUAUAAGAUAGAAUAAGAGGAAUAAAGUAUGAAAGGAAUUAAAAAUAGGUAACAAAAAUUAAUUAAAUAAAUAAUGAAUUACAAUAUUGUUAAAAAACAUUACUAAUUAUUUAAUGAAUAUUUUUUUGUCAACUUGCGCUCGUUAGAAUUAAAUUAUACUUCUCGAAAAAAUAAAUUUAAACUUUUAUACUGCAAUAAGAUUUAUAACAAACUUACCAAAUUAAUAACUAUAGUAAAAUAAAGAAACAUUCAAACCUUUUCAUACACAUGUUAUAUACCAUUUGUUACAAACACUGUCUUUCCACCUUUUACAUACAUUUCAAUCCAUAUUGCAUACAACAUAUUAAUAAUCAUAUAAGAAUAUUUCUAACCAUCUUAUUAAAUAUUUAACACAAUAUAGACUAUGCUACAAACUUUACGAAACAUUGACGAUAAAACAAUACAAAAGACAAA